UUACCUUACAUGAUUGAGCAACCAUUUGGGUUCUCGUCGCUAAAACAUUCACCGCGGCUCGUGUAACAGUAGCUAUACCCGCCGCCGCCGCCCCAGCUGUCAUAAACUGGCCUACCGUAAGUCUGGUAACAUGGGCGUAGGGGUGGAGGUGGUCCACCAUAAUAGCAAGGUCCCCCACCAACGCCAUGAUAGCAUUCCGUGCAACAGCAUCCGAUGGGGGGAUAAGCCAUUGGUGGUGGAGGACAAGGUUCUGGAACCUUUGGUGCUGGUGCUGGUGGUUUCGGUGGUGGUUCUUUUGGUUUCUCAGGUUCCUUAGGCUUUUCGGGUUCUUUCGGCUUUUCGGGUUGUUUAGGUUUCUCGGGUUCUUUGGGUUUUCCGGGUUCUUUUGGUUUUUCGGGUGCUUUAGGCUUUUCGGGUUCUUUUGGUUUUUCUGGUACUUUAGGCUUCUCUGGUUCUUUGGGUUUUUCAGGUUCUUUGGGCUUUUUGGGUUCUUUAGGCUUCUCAGGCUCAUUGGGUUUGGGAGGAGGAGGUGGAGGUUUGAUCUCAAUGCUCUUGAUUGAUCCAGCACCCUUGCAACAUAUCUUGUCCCUCAGCUUCUCAGGAUUGCAGCAUACCACAGUAAUGGUCACGGUGUUGGCUUUCUCAUCGUAUAUCUGGUCUCG
rnacentral:lncRNA from 1 species